rfam:Alligator mississippiensis ScZkoYb_83, whole genome shotgun sequence.
AGCUGUGAAAGCAAUCCAGUUGCAACAUCCGUCAUCCCAUUGGUCACUAGGAUAGAUUCUGGGCUAAUCUGGUUGGCAAGGCAUUGGUCCCUUCCUCCUCUGCAUGCAUCCUUCCUGAAGUUGCAUGCAUGGUUGAUGAAGACAGCCUUCCCAGACCAUUGAAUGCCAUUCUCCAGUUACAGGUGUACAAUAGCUGCCCUCCUGCUUGAACCUCCAAAGAAAUAUGAAGCUUUGAGUUCUUCUUGCUUGUUUUAAUGUUCUACAAUUUUUAAGGUUUACUUCAAGUAUUAAAAUCCCUUAUUGAAU